AAACACCCUCCGUCCUCCCGUUAGUGCGCCGCCCAUCCAGGGAUGACGCGGCCGGCUCCUGCAACCUCCUGGACCGCCUAAUGAUGUCUUCCACCCUGGGAUCCCAUCGGAGGAGGUGGGAGGUGUGCGAGAUACGCGUCUGUCCCUGACCUUUGACUUCCCUAGAGGACGGGGAGGAAGAGGGGCGUCUCCUACACGAACAACAAGGCUCCUAGCGGCAUCAAGUGAAAACAUCACCGUCACUGCACGCCGAGGGCCUCUUAUAUAAAAAGCACCUGCUACUACAGACGGACUGCUCUGCGUUUCUUCAGUCUGUGAAUGAACUGUACAGCCCCUGCUC